GUGCUAGUUGCUUUAGUAGGCUUUAGAGUUUGUCCUUGGUUCUUCUAUGUGUUAGGGUAUGUGCAGAUUCUUUUGUGAUGGUUUUGUUUUUUUGCCCGAAAUAGUUACUUUUCUUCUUUCUUAUUUAGUUUCCACUUCCUUUUCUAGUGUUUUUGUGUUUAUAUAGUAUCUGAUAAUUGGUAUUACUGUGAUUCCGGAGGUUUUGCUUGGAGGAGAGAGAGCUGCAAAAGAAAAACAUACGAAGGGUCCUUACUCUCUCCUCCUGCAAGUUUGGUAAGUAUCUCGAACUUUAUGGCCAAUUUGAGUUGCUGUGGUUGUUCUUUUUUGUUUAUUGUGCGGGUAGAAGUCGUUACGUGUCUAUUAGCACUAAAGUUUUCUUUUGGCUGCCAAGGUUUAGACUAAAUAGUGCUUUAGAACUCCUCUCUCUGGAUUUGCGAGUAGUUUUCGUUGCGCAUAUAAUCUCUUGCAAAUAUAUUUUGUAGGUUUAAUGAUUUGUGUGGGAAGAAAACUAACAUUUGUGAUGUAACUUGUGAUAUUAGUAGCGAAUAUAUCUAUUGAUUAGUUUUGUUGUGUGUGGAUAUACUCUAUGUUGAUAGAUGUCUCAUUGUAGCCCAAAGGAGAUGAUAUAUGUUAUGUCUAAUAGUAGUUGGGUUAAUAUUUGUGUCUGUUACUAUGAGCCGACUUGAUUUUAAAGCUUUGGUUCCUGUCACUCUGCAAGUAGUUGAUUCACUCCUCUGUAGAAUAUGAAAAUUAGGUAAAUACAAAUGAAUCCGUAAUAACUAAAUGUAAAGACAUUCAGCCAAGUUGUAAGAUUUUAUGUAUGGGAGUUUUAGAACGUAUGAAGAAAUUAUAUGUUUCAUUGGAAUUUAACAAUUUUUAAAGUGUUAUUUGA